rnacentral:lncRNA from 1 species
CUUUCUCUAAGUCUAUAAUGUAUCACUAAACUAUUGUUGUUGUAUGUAAAGUAAAUAAGGUUUUAAAAAUGAAGCUUAAUUUAAAAUUAAAUUAAAAUGCAGAGCCCCCCAGAUCGAUGGCCAGGACCUGGGCAAUGUGAGUGCCACUGAAAAUCGGCUCACAUGCUGCCUUGAGCACAUGUGCCAUAGGUUGCCUGUCCCUGAGUUAAAUCGUACUUUCUGAAGCAAAAUAAUUGCCAUUUUUUCUAGUACAUUGAAAUCUGAUUUAAAUAAUUUNACAUGUUCUAUGUAGAAGUUCAGUUGGAGAAAGAUGGAAAGGUGAUAGAUGUAAAAUUGGCUCACCCUGGAGAAGCUCCUGUGGUUUGUGAUGAUCUAGUGCAGUUUCUAAGGAUGAAGAAUUAUGAUGCCUUUGGAAAGAUUCUAGAUGGCCUGUCAAAUCUGUAUCAAAUUCCAGGAAAUAGGUUGUAUCUCUUAAAUAUAAUUAGCUUUUAUUUGUCAAAUAUUUAAUUCUUAAUAAUCUGUAUUCUCUUUCCUAGUGACAUGAAAGCUAAGGUAUAUCUUGCCUUGCAGUCUUUGGAAAAAGAUCUCUAUUCAAUGUCCCUUCUGUACAGAACACAGGAUGUAAACAGAGUUACUGAAGUACUUCAUGGAAAAGCAGGACACCUUGUGCAAAGAACUGGAGGCUCCCAAGUAUGUGGAACCAAAGUAUUUGUAACUGUUGCAAGUUCAAACACAACACACAAACUUCCCAUUUCUCCGUUAAUUGUGGAUUCUCAGGCAGGAGAUGGGUGAGAUUCAAAGGCACUAUUGACAUUUCUGAACAUAUAAAUGGACUUUCAAAUCAUUGGUAUUAAACCCUG